rnacentral:sRNA from 19 species
CGAGCCGGCUUUCGAUGGAUUCCUCGGGGUUCCAUGGUCAGCCGUUUUUCCUAGAGGUCUAUUUACCUCCACCUAAGGGCCCUGGUUUUCCAGUGGCCCUAUUUU